GGGGUUGUGGCUCAGUGUUAAAGCACUUGUCUGGCAAGUAUGAGGCACUGGGUUCAAUCCUCAGCACCA
rnacentral:tRNA from 1 species